AUGAAUUUGUCAAAACAAAAUGCUCACAUUUUGUAUAUUCAUUAAAUAUUUGUAACGUGCAUUUCCUUACAGAACUUUAAUCCUAGCUCGGAGGAACAGACUCGUUCAGAAUUAUCAAAAGAACUUGGCAAUUACAUCAAGGAGUAUCGAAGCAUCAGCCGGAACUUCAGCGUUCGCGAUGCCCUCAAACUUCAAUACAUAUCUGUCGGGGAACUCGUAAACAGUAAUAUGACGGUGUCGGCCUCUGUCACUCUCAAAUUAACAUACGAAUUGUUUCGUUCUCUUGAUGUCUUUCAUAGAGCUUUUCUGUUCAUUGGAAACCUUGAUAAGGAUACAGUGUGCGUCAGGACCAGAAAUGGGAAGGUAUUAGGAGAUAUCCUCAUUAAAGUAGACACAAGAGCAGCGGCCAAGAAUGAAGACCUACAAAAUGAUAUCUUUCAAGCAGGACGCCUCAUUUAUAUCAUAGUUUACAAGAUCAUCAGACGAAAUGAAAACAUGUAAUUGAAAAUUAAUUAUCCCACUUAUAACGUAGUGGUUCUUACGUUUAAAAAUCAAACUUUUUAACGUAACUGUUUCGUUUAUUACUGUUGUUUCAAAUAUCGAUGUUUUGCUUUAUUUUGUUUUAUUUUUAUUAUAAUAAUUAUUAUUAUUUUAUGUAUGUAUUAUUCUUAAUAUUAAGGGAAUGCCAUUAAAUGAUUCCCUGUAGUUUCUAUUGUUAAACAUUUUUAGAAGAAUAUGUAUGCAUGAAAAUCAAGUCGAAAAUUUUAACACUUUGGUAACAUUCUUUGAGAAAAAAUAUACAUACAAAGUUUGCAUAUUUACAAGAAAUUUGUAUUUUAAAAAAUGUGUUACUUCUUUAAGGUUUUCGUCUGUGCAUGAGCAUGUGUGUUUCAUGCAUGUCAACGGCUCCCAUAACACGACAGGCUAAUUAUAAAUAAAUGUAUGAUAUGGUUAAAUAUUAAGAAUCAUUCGAAUUUAUGUUCGUUUUUCAGAGAUAAAUUAUUAUUUAAUUAUUUUUCUACUACAGUCAGUAAAUACUUAAGUAUAUAGUUGUUUUUGUCUACCAUGAUUGCCUGUGUCUCAUUUUCUGUAAAACAAACUGUUAUUUCCAUAUUUAUGGCCAAAAAUGAACAAUAAACAUUUUGAUAAUUAUGAUUAUGAUAUAAAGUGCCCUUUGGCAAUUUUUUUA